rnacentral:lncRNA from 1 species
GACCGGGAAUAGCCUCUGUGAACGGGUGCGAGUUCAUAAAGAACAAAUAAAACACCCACAAGACAGAAACCCGCCAAUUAGUGCCCAUCUUGACACUUGUGGUAAAAAACAUUUUCAAAUAAUACCUUUUUUUAAAUGUAGACGGGAUGAAGCCUAUCGAAAGGAGAUGGAAUGUUAUUUCAUCACAACGUUCCGAUCAAAAUUAAAUCCCGA